UUGCUUUUUCAGAUGUAUGUCAAAGAUUUAUUGUCACCUUUCGGAGAAACCAUGUGACCUCUAUUUCAUAUCUUCAUUCUACGAUCAGUGGACUGACCUAGGCACUGACAACGCCCCUUGUUGAGCUUGGCAUGCUCAAAUACCUCUACCACUCCAGGCUUUCCUAUCAGCUAAUCAAAAAUUCAAGUACCCUACCUGAACCUGGAGCAAGUUCAGAUGUUCAGUUUAUUCAGAGCUUAAUCCUUUUACCAAGCUGCUAGCAGUCUGAGGGCUGGACACUGCCUUUCCAUGAUGUGUGAAGACUUAUAAGGAAGAGUAAACGUCAAAAGCUCUUUCGGUGAUGCUGUGAAGAAGACAGCAGGAUGGCGCCAGAAGCCAUACAGCACAAGAACCUCAUCACAGUCCUGCCGCACAGAUUUCUGCAACAAGCUUAAAUGAAUUGCCGUCAUAGCAAGAGUAGUGCAGUAAAAAGUGCCGUGUGAAAGGGCACAAGCAGAGCUCCUUACAGAUGUCCUGCUCACGUGGAACAGACCCUGUACCCAAGUGCCACUGCACUGCAGAAGGAACAUACUCUUGAAAAUGUUAGUAAA